rnacentral:misc_RNA from 1 species
GAUGAAGAACGCAGUGAAAUGCGAUAAGUAAUGUGAAUUGCAGAAUUCAGUGAAUCAUUGAAUCUUUGAACGCACCUUGCGCUCCUUGGUAUUCCGAGGAGCAUGCCUGUUUGAGUGUCAUUAAUAUAUCAACCUUCUCUUUUUUGAGUUGUUUGGAUGUGGGGGUUUGCUGGCCUCUUAAAUGAUUCAGCUCCCCUGAAAUGCAUUAGCAGAACAACCUGUUCAUUGGCGUGAUAAUUAUCUAUGCUAUUGAAUGUGAGGGCAGUUCAGCUUUCUAACCGUCCUUGGACAAUUCAUCAUUAAUGUGACCUCAAAUCAGGUAGGACUACCCGCUGAACUUAAGCAUAUCAAUAAGCGGAGGA